GACGAACGCUGGCGGCGUGCCUAAUACAUGCAAGUCGAACGCAGUGGGGACGGGUGAGUAACACGUGGGUAACCUCCCAUCAGAGGGGAUAACACUUGGAAAAAGGUGCUAAACCGAUAUUGAUGUAUGGACCCGCGGGGCAUUAGCUAGUUGGUGGGGGAACGCCUCACCAAGGCCACGAUGCAUAGCCGGUCUGAGAGGGUGAUCGGCCACACUGGGACUGAGACACGGCCCAGACUCCUACGGGAGGCAGCAGUAGGGAAUAUUCGGCAAUGGACGAAAGCCUGACCGAGCAACGCCGCGUGAGUGAAGAAGGUUUUCGGCUCGUAAAACUCUGUUGUUAGAGAAGCGGUAUCUAACCAGAAAGCCACGGCUAACUACGUGCCAGCAGCCGCGGUAAUUC
rnacentral:rRNA from 1 species